rnacentral:rRNA from 1 species
UACGGGGGGAGCAAGCGUUGUUCGGAUUUACUGGGCGUAAAGGGCGCGUAGGCGGCCACCGCAAGUCGACUGUGAAAUCUCCGGGCUUAACCCGGAAAGGUCAGCCGAUACUGCGGGGCUAGAGUGCAGAAGGGGCAACUGGAAUCCUCGGUGUAGCGGUGAAAUGCGUAGAUAUCGAGAGGAACACCUGCGGCGAAGGCGGGUUGCUGGGCUGACACUGACGCUGAUGCGCGAAAGCUAGGGGAGCGAACGGG